AAAGCACUUAGGAUCACAAAGAAAAUCCUAUGAUUGAAACUCAGGGUCGGAGGAUGAAAAAUGAAUGUGCGAUGCGGUAACAGACGGUACCGCGGCCACGAGCCCCAGCCGCCGCCUAAUGGGUGCGGUCACGUUAGAUGGAGACGAGCUGGGACAGUGUUUCGGCCGAGUUUGCUGUCCUGGACGAAGCAUGCAGGGGCCCCACAAUGUGGGGCGCGUCACCUACGCUCACGGCGCAAGGAUGUCUGAACGACAGUGACAAGUCAGUGAAGACACACACGUAACCUUGCCUGUGCUCUGCCCUGGGCAGCAGAAGUCCACCCACGGAGCUCAGGGCAGAGCCUCCGGCCCAUGCAGAAGAGACCGCGUUCCUGCCGGUGCCACAAUCGGCCUUGCCUCCCCCUACACGGGAGCACCCCGCCGUCCCCCUGCACACAGGUGCCUCCUGGGUCCUGCUGGCCUCUCCCCACCUAGCAGGUCCAGACCCCACUUGUCUGCUUUCCUCUGGAGCCCCCAGUCUCGUGAACAUACGCGGCAGGAGACAGCUGGCGGGAACCGUGUGACAAGCACCAGGGCACCGCGCGGGGCCUGACGCGCACAGACGUGUGUGUAAUCCAGAAUUCCGGAGUGGUGGGAAUCACGGUCUUCCCAGGAAGUGGCAGAGGCCCUGGGGCCGGGGCGGGGGCUGGCGAGGGCUGCAUAGACCCGGAGGACUGUGCGGCAGGAGGCGCCCCACGAUCCAGCCUGAGGAUGGGCCGGACACCCUGAGUGCUGGCUCAAGGCGGGACUCCCAUUUCCAGCAAAGUCUGCAACAGCAGUGCCAUGGAGUAAUGGAGAACAGAUGGAAAAUCCGGGGAGACGCUGGGCGCGCCAGGGGUCGGAGUUCAGGAGCAUUUCUGGAAAGAGAAUAAAGGAGGAAGAAGCUGGGGCCCAGAGGGUUGCCAGGGCUUCCCACCAGAGCCUCUUUUCCAAAUUGAACCCCAUCUUGUCCUCAUAAAUGGAUCAGAGAAGACUUCUUCCGUUGGUCCUGGAAUCACUGGUGCUUUCUCCUGACUGAAUCAAAGGAAUCUCUGGUUGAUGAAAACAUUCUGAAUUAUAUUGUGAUGAUGGCCGAACAACUCUCUCAUCACACUGAAAACGCUGAACUGCAUCCUUUAAAAGGGAAACUGAAGGAUAAUGGAAAAUAUAUACUGGUCUCUGUCCCUGGUUGCUGGCCCAGAAUUCCUAAACCCUUGUAACUUCGAGCCGUGUCUAGCAAGAAGUUGGUACAGCCAGUGACAAACAGGUUACUUGCCUGUGUUCUCCUCUAGGACUUUGAUGGUUUCCUGUGUCACAUGACUCAGGGAUCCUGCUGCUACCAGUUUGCUUGGUGACGUGAAGGCCAGCUAUGACUCUCACCCGGGGAAACCUUCCACCGAGUCUGCACCGUGCAGACGAUGCAAUCAGAGCUUCUGUGGGGGUGACGGCGGCAGCGGCUCCAGACAGAAAGAAAUGUGCAAAAAUGUGAAUCGUGCCAAAGAUUCAGCUCUCUGGAAGACCAGAUGCCCUGGAGAUCUCUUCUGGAGCAGAGACAGUCCUUCUGUAGCACAGUGGCCCCAGGUAGUGUAAUUCAUUCCUCCCUUGGUCACACCUUAAACUCAAAUU